CGCGCCGGGCCCCGCCGGGCGCAGCGCCCUCCCGGCGGCGGCGCGAUGCUGUGCUUCCUGAGGGGAAUGGCCUUCGUGCCCUUUCUUCUGGUGACCUGGUCGUCCGCCGCCUUCAUCAUCUCCUACGUGGUCGCGGUGCUCUCGGGGCACGUCAACCCCUUCCUCCCCUACAUCAGGGCAAUAUCCCUUUAGGGAUGAUAAGGUCAUUGGUCAUUGAUCAGCGAUAUGGAUGUAUUCAGGAUGAUCCCCUUUUACAUGAUGACAUUGUUCAACCAAUCUGAUGUUCUGGAAUUUCUUAACAACGUUGAACACUUUAAGAGCCAUUGCAUUUUAAAUAAGAACCAUAAUCCUGGGAGGACCUUUUUCCAAUAUGACAUUCAAACUCAGCUUUCUCAUCACAAAUCUUGUAACAUUGUUAUUCUUCAGCAUAUUGGUUAAAUGAGCAAAUAGCUUUUAGACAUAUAGAAAGAUGCUCAGCCUCAUGAAUGGGAUAAAAAUUCAAAUUAAAACUCA